ACGAGAGGACCGGGGUGGACGAACCUCUGGUGUACCAGUUGUUCCGCCAGGAGCAUCGCUGGGUAGCUACGUUCGGACGGGAUAACCGCUGAAAGCAUCUAAGCGGGAAGCCUCCCUCAAGAUAAGAUAUCACUAGAGCCUUGAGCUCUCUGUAGGGCCCUUGAAGACUACAAGGUUGAUAGGCUAGGUGUGGAAGCGCAGUAAUGUGUGAAGCUAACUAGUACUAAUUGCCCGUGAGGCUUGAUCAU
rnacentral:rRNA from 1 species